rnacentral:rRNA from 1 species
UGCAGUCGAACGGCAGCAUGAUCUAGCUUGCUAGAUUGAUGGCGAGUGGCGAACGGGUGAGUAAUACAUCGGAACGUGCCCUGUAGUGGGGGAUAACUAGUCGAAAGAUUAGCUAAUACCGCAUACGACCUGAGGGUGAAAGUGGGGGACCGCAAGGCCUCAUGCUAUAGGAGCGGCCGAUGUCUGAUUAGCUAGUUGGUGAGGUAAAGGCUCACCAAGGCGACGAUCAGUAGCUGGUCUGAGAGGACGAUCAGCCACACUGGGACUGAGACACGGCCCAGACUCCUACGGGAGGCAGCAGUGGGGAAUUUUGGACAAUGGGGGCAACCCUGAUCCAGCAAUGCCGCGUGUGUGAAGAAGGCCUUCGGGUUGUAAAGCACUUUUGUCCGGAAAGAAAUCGCACUUACUAAUAUUAGGUGUGGAUGACGGUACCGGAAGAAUAAGGACCGGCUAACUACGUGCCAGCAGCCGCGGUAAUACGUAGGGUCCAAGCGUUAAUCGGAAUUACUGGGCGUAAAGCGUGCGCAGGCGGUUGUGCAAGACCGAUGUGAAAUCCCCGGGCUUAACCUGGGAAUUGCAUUGGUGACUGCACGGCUAGAGUGUGUCAGAGGGGGGGUAGAAUUCCACGUGUAGCAGUGAAAUGCGUAGAGAUGUGGAGGAAUACCGAUGGCGAAGGCAGCCCCCUGGGAUAACACUGACGCUCAUGCACGAAAGCCUGGGGAGCAAACAGGAUUAGAUACCCUGGUAGU